CAGGCUGUCAGAUACUGCUCGACCUACUAUGACUUGACAGAUGAUGCGUGAAACAUUUGCUGUCAUUUCUAUGGAGCUGAUGUGGAUGAACCAAUAUCUGGGAAGAUUGCAAGAAAAGGUGGCACUACGUUAAGUACACACAUCAAAAAAGGCAGAGGAAAGAAAAAAGUACUGGAAGUUCUACUUGCAGUAAAGGCACUGAAUGGGGACUGACUGAUAUGUUCACGUUUUUACACAAAGUAGAUCAGAAGUGAGAAAACACAUCCAUCGUUGAGGGAAAUGAAGUGCAAAGUCCACGUGGAACGAGAUACAGAGUGGUGUGCCAAACUUCGUCCAAUAACGAUGUUUCUCCAGAAAACCUCGAAGACAUCACACCAUUCAGACCUCUCGUUAACAGGAGACGUCAAAAUGACAAAAUCUUGGAGUCGAUGAAUUCUCGGUGGGCUGACUCAUACUCAACAACUCCAACGCCAUCAAGUGUGGAUAACACCGACAUUGCACAAUCUGGUUACACAGAGACUG